rnacentral:tRNA from 1 species
GCCCGGAUAGCUCAGUCGGUAGAGCAGGGGAUUGAAAAUCCCCGUGUCCUUGGUUCGAUUCCGAGUCAGGGCACCA